AAUUCUAAUGAUGAAUUCACUACCCCCCCCCCAGUCUAGUCACUGUAGCUGAUAGGUAUAUCCUGAGGAGUG
ensembl:snoRNA SNORD31 Small nucleolar RNA SNORD31